CACAAAGUCGCUAAACCCAAUUCAGUGCUUCUCUCUUAGGGUUCGUUUUUUCCCUUCCCGUCCUCCCCUCUUGGCUCUUGCAGCUGCUAGUUUCUUUAGGCUAACUUUCUCUUCUAGUGAGGGGGGAAAAAAAAGAAGGAAGAAAAAGGAGCGGCUCAGUGUAAAUUCGUUAUUUUUUAGCCUUUUUUUUACCUGAACUUAUGGUGCAGAGGGUGAUAUUGGAGCUCAGUAACAAACGGGUAAGGUGGAAACGGAGCUAGAUCUGCAGGAAAUUGUGGGCAUCGCCUGGCUUGGAAAGGAAACUUUUUAUCUUUCUUUGUUUAUAUCUUUUGCUUUUGCGUUGGUUUUUUUUUAUUUUUAAUUUUCGAUCUUAAAUUUUUUAACCUUGAAGAUUGGAUGGAGAGAAUCCUUACCGAGGCCAGGCAUGCCCAUGGUUUCAUGUGGUUCCUCCAUUUCUUUUCCUUGUCCUUGAAUGGAUCUGACCUGUUCAGCUGAGGUCAUGGACUUUCUCUCUCUUUUUUUUUCUCCAUUUGUUCUAUUUUUGAGCCAAGGGUUUCAGAGGCUUUGGACUAAGAUCCUUUCCAAUUCCGGGCAUGCCAAUAAUAUCAUGUUGGUCCCUCCCUUUCCUUUUCCUUGCCUAGCUAUGGUUCUCUGUUCGUUGACUAUCUUGCAUGCGGAGUUUGCAAGUCAAAAUCAUUUGACAGGGCCCCGGCGUUCACCGGUUACAACUCGACAAGGAUCAGAGAUGUGGCAUAAGGUGCUCUACCUUGGAGCGACUUGAUUAUUUCUUCCAGAUUUAGGCCGUUGAGAUGCUACAGGAUCAGUAGAUUUGUUUGCCAGAUUAAUAAUCAAUUUUAGCGUUGCUGGUGUAAUAAUUUUGCGGUAAAGAAAAUUGAAAAUUGUUAAUUGUAUGUACCGUUAGUGUUGUCUUUUUCACUGGCUUAAUAUAUACGAGCGUGGAAAGCUAUAGAUCGAACAUGGAGUUCCCCACAGCUGAGGUUCCUCCAUUUUCUUGCUGCGAUUUUGAUUCAUUUUUCAUGCACUUAAGCCUGAUUGAUAAUCAUCACAAUUUUGGAUGCGUAAUUUGAUGGUUGCACUCUCAAUGCAACAUGAGGCAACUAUGAUGAUGAUUACCUCAGCCAGCAUUUUGUUGUAAAAAGGGACUUGAAUUGCCUAUUGCCUCUUAAGAGAUAGA